rnacentral:rRNA from 1 species
AGUGAACGCUGGCGGUAGGCCUAACACAUGCAAGUCGAACGGCAGCACAGUAAGAGCUUGCUCUUACGGGUGGCGAGUGGCGGACGGGUGAGGAAUACAUCGGAAUCUACUUUUUCGUGGGGGAUAACGUAGGGAAACUUACGCUAAUACCGCAUACGACCUACGGGUGAAAGCAGGGGAUCUUCGGACCUUGCGCGAUUGAAUGAGCCGAUGUCGGAUUAGCUAGUUGGCGGGGUAAAGGCCCACCAAGGCGACGAUCCGUAGCUGGUCUGAGAGGAUGAUCAGCCACACUGGAACUGAGACACGGUCCAGACUCCUACGGGAGGCAGAAGUGGGGAAUAUUGGACAAUGGGCGCAAGCCUGAUCCAGCCAUACCGCGUGGGUGAAGAAGGCCUUCGGGUUGUAAAGCCCUUUUGUUGGGAAAGAAAAGCAGCAGGUUAAUACCCCGCUGCUCUGACGGUACCCAAAGAAUAAGCACCGGCUAACUUCGUG